UUCCAAUUACAGGGACUUGCCAUGAGGUGCUGAAGCCUUGCCUCAUUGAUUCAGAGAGACUGGACCUAAAUGGCGCAGCAUGACUUUGCUCCAGCCUGGCUUAAUUUUCCUACUCCACCAUCAUCAACAAAGUCAUCACUGAACUUUGAGAGACAUUCUGAAAACUUUUUGUGGACAGAGAAUCGUUAUGAAGUAAAUCGCAGAAGACACAACUCCUCAGAUGGGCUUGAUUCUAACGUUGGACGACAUUAUAGAGGGCAUUUUUGGAAGAAAAGAGAAGAAUGGUUGGCGUUCACAAGGCAGAAAUGGUACAGAAAAUAUAAACUAUCGUGGGGGAUACCAUGGCGGAGGUUCCCGUGCUCAUACCAGCACUUCCCACUGUGGAAAAAGCCAAGGCCUGCAUGAAAACAAUGUACCUGAUAAUGAAACUGGGAAAAAGGAAGACAAGGAAGUACCUGAACGGUUUGAGGCUGAGGAUUUUCCGUCUUUGAAUCCUGAAUAUGAGAGGGAACCAAACCAGAAUAAGUCUUUAGCUGCAGGUGUGUGGGGUGAGUAUUGUUGAUGUUCUUAAAUAUAAAAAUAUAGUACAG